GAUGAACGCUGGCGGCGUGCCUAAUACAUGCAAGUCGAGCGAACAGACGAGGAGCUUGCUCCUCUGACGUUAGCGGCGGACGGGUGAGUAACACGUGGAUAACCUACCUAUAAGACUGGGAUAACUUCGGGAAACCGGAGCUAAUACCGGAUAAUAUAUUGAACAGCAUGGUUCAAUAGUGAAAGACGGUUUUGCUGUCACUUAUAGAUGGAUCCGCGCCGCAUUAGCUAGUUGGUAAGGUAACGGCUUACCAAGGCAACGAUGCGUAGCCGACCUGAGAGGGUGAUCGGCCACACUGGAACUGAUACACGGUCCAGACUCCUACGGGAGGCAGCAGUAGGGAAUCUUCCGCAAUGGGCGAAAGCCUGACGGAGCAACGCCGCGUGAGUGAUGAAGGUCUUCGGAUCGUAAAACUCUGUUAUUAGGGAAGAACAAAUGUGUAAGUAACUAUGCACGUCUUGACGGUACCUAAUCAGAAAGCCACGGCUAACUACGUG
rnacentral:rRNA from 1 species